rnacentral:rRNA from 1 species
UUAUCUCUGUAGAGUCUGCAUAUCAAUAAGCGGAGGAAAAGAAACUAACUAGGAUUCCCUUAGUAACGGCGAGUGAAGCGGGAAGAGCUCAAAUUUGAAAUCUUCAAGGUUUUACCUUGACGAAUUGUAGUUUAAAGAAGUGUUUUCUGUUGGAUGUUUUGGUAAAAGUUCUUUGGAAUAGGACAUCAUAGAGGGUGAGAAUCCCGUAUUUGACCAUUAUUCCCAGCUUUGUGAUACACUUUCAAAGAGUCGGAUUGUUUGGGAAUGCAGUCCAAAAUGGGUGGUAAAUUUCAUCUAAAGCUAAAUACUGGCGAGAGACCGAUAGCGAACAAGUACCGUGAGGGAAAGAUGAAAAGAACUUUGAAAAGAGAGUUAAACAGUACGUGAAAUUGUCAAAAGGGAAGCGUUUGACACCAGUGUUGUUUUCUCGAAAAUCAAUUAAAAAUGGCUUGAUUUUGUGUUGUAUUGACCUUAAAAGCUUUCUUCACUUUUUUCAUGUCCUUUUUAAUGCACUUUUCGUUUAACAAGUCAACAUCAGUUUCUUUUGUUGUAAAAAGGGUCAUUGGAAGGUGGCUUUCUUUUCGGAGAAAGUGUUUAUAGCCUUUGCCUCUGCAAUCGGAGAGAUUGAGGUCUGCAGCGUAGAUCCUUCUGGAUUAGAUACACUUGUGCUAAGUUUACAACGUUUCAUAGACAACUUGUUGACUAUAUUUAGUCAUGUCGCUUACUCGCUUAUGCUAAUUUUACCUACGCUUAGGAUGUUGAAGAUGUAGCACAUCAU